GGGGACGCUCCGGGGCGAGGAGUUUUCGGUCUGCAGUCACCCGGCCCCGGGAGCCAAGCUAGAGGAGGAAGACGGGCCGGGACAGGGGUGGUGCUCGCCAGGCCCCCUACAACCUGGGCACCCGCUAGCUCUUUCGUCCCCGCACCCCGACGCUGGGCACACAACUCCGGCUGCUUCCCGAGCGCCGCUCCGGGAGCGAGCACAUCCCUGCAGCUGUCUGCCGGACAGGUCUUGGGGGACGGCGGCCCCUUUUUUGCAGCGGGUGGGGCGAGAAGCUACGGGAUGUGGAGCUUCCAGAUAAGGGAGUGUCCCUGCCCGCCGCACUGCAAGGGCGGCUGAGCGAUUAGGCGCGGCUAGCGGAACCGAGCGGCGGUGGCUGGGCUUUCCCCACGCUCCCGUCACUAGUUAAGCCGCCAGCCCCGUGGCAGCCGCUCCACAGCCCACUCCCGGGCCUGGGCUCUGACCCGAACGGCUGGCUCCGCCCUGUUGCACCUCAUAACAUCUCCCGCUGCAAACCGUCCAAUCCGGUGACGCUACGACAGUAUGCGACCCAAUCAAGGGCUACCGCUCAAGCCUUCUACCCCGCCCCUCAGCCUCCCCUUCCCACUCCAUCUCGGGAGGUGGCUCACCAGCUCUGAUCCCUAGAGGAGCCUCUAGCUCUGGGGAUAGUGCUUGGCACCUCUUCACCACCCCACCCCUGUCCUCUCCCCGUCUUAUGCACACCCCCCCUCCAGGUCUCUGCCCUGCUGAUGCUGUUGAGGGUCCUUUCGAUCCUCAUUGACAGCUUUUGUGUCUGCCACCAUCCUGAGAGAACAGAACAAAAACCAAGAUGCUGUGGAACGUGUUACCUUUUU
ensembl:antisense Gm13375 predicted gene 13375